rnacentral:rRNA from 1 species
AACUCUGGUAUUGAUUGGUGCUUGCAUCAUGAUUUACAUUUGAGUGAGUGGCGAACUGGUGAGUAACACGUGGGAAACCUGCCCAGAAGCGGGGGAUAACACCUGGAAACAGAUGCUAAUACCGCAUAACAACUUGGACCGCAUGGUCCGAGUUUGAAAGAUGGCUUCGGCUAUCACUUUUGGAUGGUCCCGCGGCGUAUUAGCUAGAUGGUGGGGUAACGGCUCACCAUGGCAAUGAUACGUAGCCGACCUGAGAGGGUAAUCGGCCACAUUGGGACUGAGACACGGCCCAAACUCCUACGGGAGGCAGCAGUAGGGAAUCUUCCACAAUGGACGAAAGUCUGAUGGAGCAACGCCGCGUGAGUGAAGAAGGGUUUCGGCUCGUAAAACUCUGUUGUUAAAGAAGAACAUAUCUGAGAGUAACUGUUCAGGUAUUGACGGUAUUUAACCAGAAAGCCACGGCUAACUACGUGCCAGCAGCCGCGGUAAUACGUAGGUGGCAAGCGUUGUCCGGAUUUAUUGGGCGUAAAGCGAGCGCAGGCGGUUUUUUAAGUCUGAUGUGAAAGCCUUCGGCACAACCGAAGAAGUGCAUCGGAAACUGGGAAACUUGAGUGCAGAAGAGGACAGUGGAACUCCAUGUGUAGCGGUGAAAUGCGUAGAUAUAUGGAAGAACACCAGUGGCGAAGGCGGCUGUCUGGUCUGUAACUGACGCUGAGGCUCGAAAGUAUGGGUAGCAAACAGGAUUAGAUACCCUGGUAGUCCAUACCGUAAACGAUGAAUGCUAAGUGUUGGAGGGUUUCCGCCCUUCAGUGCUGCAGCUAACGCAUUAAGCAUUCCGCCUGGGGAGUACGGCCGCAAGGCUGAAACUCAAAGGAAUUGACGGGGGCCCGCACAAGCGGUGGAGCAUGUGGUUUAAUUCGAAGCUACGCGAAGAACCUUACCAGGUCUUGACAUACUAUGCAAAUCUAAGAGAUUAGACGUUCCCUUCGGGGACAUGGAUACAGGUGGUGCAUGGUUGUCGUCAGCUCGUGUCGUGAGAUGUUGGGUUAAGUCCCGCAACGAGCGCAACCCUUAUUAUCAGUUGCCAGCAUUAAGUUGGGCACUCUGGUGAGACUGCCGGUGACAAACCGGAGGAAGGUGGGGAUGACGUCAAAUCAUCAUGCCCCUUAUGACCUGGGCUACAAACGUGCUACAAUGGAUGGUACAACGAGUUGCGAACUCGCGAGAGUAAGCUAAUCUCUUAAAGCCAUUCUCAGUUCGGAUUGUAGGCUGCAACUCGCCUACAUGAAGUCGGAAUCGCUAGUAAUCGCGGAUCAGCAUGCCGCGGUGAAUACGUUCCCGGGCCUUGUACACACCGCCCAUCACACCAUGAGAGUUUGUAACACCCAAAGUCGGU